UACUGACCUGGGUAACAACUCACAUGGAUGAAGUUAAGAACCAAGGUUAAGAGUCUUAUCAAAUUCAGUAAGACUACUGAGCCAUUUGAAGAUGGGUACAUAUUAAGAAAUUCUGUGCUUAUUAGGGGCUGUUAUGCUUUCUAUAAAACAUUAGAUUUUUCAGGCAACCACUGUGGACAGUGUUACUUAACAAAUGUAUGUAUAAACAUUGUAGCUAAUUAUGUAGACUUCACUUAAUAAGAAAUGUAUGGUACUGCAAAAAACUAAAGCAUUUGCUAGCCAAAAGUAGAUGAAAGCACGUACCUCCAAUUGAUUUGUGUGUAUGCUAUAUAAGUUCUUCAGCUGGAAAUCAAAGCCAUAACUAACAAAUUCCUAUUUUUUGUUAGGGUUCUGUGGACUGAUGCGAUAAAUGUAUAGGUGUCUUCAGUUGUUUCCAUUUAGAACUUGUGUAUUGCACUUGAAUUCCAAUAUAAAAACAAGAGCCUGAGUUUAUACUGUGUUUUUAUUUGGCAGAAAGUUAUGAUCUUUGAUAUUGAAAGAGCAUACUGGGAAAUGUUGCAUUUUGUUAUCGUUAACAGUAUGCAUAAAUGUCCAGAACAUUUGCAUUUUUCUAAAGUUUAGCUCCAUGUACUCUCUAAUACAGCGGGUCCCAACCUCGGUUCAUGACCCAUAUGAGGGUCACGGGGGCAAUGCUGGUGGUGCUGCACACACAGGAUGAGCCGCACCACGUGCCCGGAGCUCCCCUGCCCCUGGGCUGCCACUGCACUCUGCUCCCAGCAGCGGGUUGCGGCAAAAAAAGGUUGGGAACCACUGCUCUCAUAUGACACAGCUACCUACUAUUAACAUUUUCAUUAAGCACUAAACUCAACUGAAGCAUAGAUUAUGUGUGCAAGGAGGGAGAUUUCAGGAUUAUCUUUAAAAAUGCAGUAAGGUUUUAAUGCAUCUAAAUGCAUGUAAUUUCAUCUCUCUUUAAAUAAAGCACUACAUUUUGAAAAUAUGUGAGCUCUAGAGUUCUUAAAUAAAAGAGAUUUAUCAGACAUCACAGGGUCUAAUAAAUGAAAUUUUAGGUAAUAUUGCCAUGAGUCAAUUCAGUACAUUCACACCAAAGACAACCAUUGAGAGAAUCUGAAUGUGUAAUUCCUUAGUUUUAGACCUUUCAGUUUUCAGAAAUACAAAUAGUUGCAACAGUAUUUAGAUUCCUGUUAUAUUAUCAAGCAAAAGCUGUCUCCACCUGUUCACUCACUAGGACAUGGCAUUUAGGUUGUAAUUGAACUUUGGGGAAAAUAAAUCCUGGAACAUGGUUACCUAACUAGCUAACAAUAUUUGUCGUAAGAACAACUUACUGCAGGUUAAAAAGGAACAUGGUUUUACCAUGCAUCAGUUGCUCAUACGUAUGCUUUAACAUUGUGGUACGUGGAAGCUAGUCCAUGAUCACAUAGCCACCGUUCGUUGAGGGCUGUUACUACAGUUUAGCUUCCAUUUACUGUGGGGUAGGAGUAUGCGCAGUAAAUCUUACUCGCCUAACCUGGCAGUAAGUUGUUCUUUCUACUAUGAGAGAGUUUAAAGGCAAACCCCACACCCCGCCCCACCACCUUCACCAUCCUGAGCAUGCAGUGCUGUAUUGGGUCACUGGUCUUUAUAGCU